UACGAAGGGGGCUAGCGUUGUUCGGAUUUACUGGGCGUAAAGCGCACGUAGGCGGAUUGUUAAGUCAGGGGUGAAAUCCUGGAGCUCAACUCCAGAACUGCCUUCGAUACUGGCGAUCUUGAGUCCGGGAGAGGUGAGUGGAACUCCGAGUGUAGAGGUGAAAUUCGUAGAUAUUCGGAAGAACACCAGUGGCGAAGGCGGCUCACUGGCCCGGUACUGACGCUGAGAUACGAAAGCGUGGGGAGCAAACAGG
rnacentral:rRNA from 1 species